AACGAACGCUGGCGGCAUGCCUAACACAUGCAAGUCGAAUGAGACCUUCGGGUCUAGUGGCGCACGGGUGCGUAACGCGUAGGAACCUGCCCUUAGGUUCGGAAUAACUCCCCGAAAGGGGUGCUAAUACCGGAUAAUGUCUUCGGACCAAAGAUUUAUCGCCUUUGGAUGGGCCCGCGUUGGAUUAGCUAGUUGGUAGGGUAAAAGCCUACCAAGGCGACGAUCCAUAGCUGGUCUGAGAGGAUGAUCAGCCACACUGGGACUGAGACACGGCCCAGACUCCUACGGGAGGCAGCAGUGGGGAAUAUUGGACAAUGGGCGAAAGCCUGAUCCAGCAAUGCCGCGUGAGUGAUGAAGGCCUUAGGGUUGUAAAGCUCUUUUACCCGGGAUGAUAAUGACAGUACCGGGAGAAUAAGCUCCGGCUAACUCCGUG
rnacentral:rRNA from 1 species